GCCUUAUAUGCUAUGCAAAUCUUCAGAAUUGGGAGUAUUGAUGCAGGCAUGAGACAUCAGCAAAGAUAAUGGCCACUUUCAUCUUCUUAAUAAAAGGUAUUCACAUGGGUGGAAAUCCUUGUUUUCUGACUCCGGAGCCCCUUUGACGCUCGGGAAAAUGCCCAGUGGAAAAGUACACCCCGGGACAAUCAGCUUUCCUUGGCCACGCAAGUUACCUGUGUGCCCAGAGAGGCAACGGAUUUCACCGGAUGAUUAAAACCCAGGGGAAUUCAAAGUUCACCCAAACGCGUCUGUAUAACGUACCUUGUUCAGCUCCUGCUCAUAGACUCGUCCUCCGCCUGUCUGUGUGGUCCCGGAGGGUCGUGGAAGGAAGUUUCCAAAAUUGAGCCGGGUCAAGACUCAGCAGAGUCUAGCAAGAGCAGAAUGAAGAAGUCUUUGGCUGGUUCAAGUCCCCCGUUCAAUGGGCUGCUCGAAGCCAGGACUGG
ensembl:processed_transcript Has2os uncharacterized LOC110310675